GCGAGGGUUGCCAGCACGGUCAACGGUGGCAGACUCAAGAUCUGUUCGUGCAGACGUUCAGGGGUUCGAAUCCCUUCUCCCGCA
rnacentral:tRNA from 1 species